rnacentral:sRNA from 1 species
UACCGGAAGGUGCGGCUGGAUCACCUCCUUUCUAAGGAGCACCACGAAAAACACUCCGCAUCCGGUGGGGUGUGAGCCGUGAGGGAGCCCGUGCCUGUAGUGGGUGUGGGUUGGGUGCGCGACAACAAAUGGGAAAAAUCGCUGGGCACACUAUUGGGCUUUGAGGCAACACCUGGUUUGUUUUGGGUGGUGUCGCUCCAUCUUGGUGGUGGGGUGUGGUGUUUGAGUUGUGGAUAGUGGUUGCGAGCAUCUAAGCAAAAGCUGUUGUUUGACGGUUUUUGUCGAGUGUUGUGUGUGUAAGUGUGUUAGGGCGCAUGGUGGAUGCCUUGGCG